AGCUCCAAUAGCGUAUAUUAAAGUUGUUGCAGUUAAAAAGCUCGUAGUUGAAUUUCGGGAUCAAUAUAUCGGUCGUGCCUUUGGUACGUACUGGUAUCAUUGAUUUCUCCUUUCUGACGAAUCAUGAUGUCAUUAAUUUGGUGUUAUGAGGAGUUAGGACUGUUACUUUGAAAAAAUUAGAGUGUUUAAAGCAGGCAUUAGCUUGAAUACAUUAGCAUGGAAUAAUGAAAUAGGACGUUUGACCCUAUUUUGUUGGUUUUUAGGAUCGACGUAAUGAUUAAUAGGGAUAGUUGGGGGCAUUAGUAUUCAAUUGUCAGAGGUGAAAUUCUUGGAUUUAUUGAAGACUAACUACUGCGAAAGCAUUUGCCAAGGAUGUUUUCAUUAAUCAAGAACGAAAGUUAGGGGAUCGAAGACGAUCAGAUACCGUCGUAGUCUUAACCAUAAACUAUGCCGACUAGGGAUCGGAUGAUGUUAAUUUUAUAAU
rnacentral:rRNA from 1 species